AACCACCUUUUUGAUGUGGGUUUCCCUUCAAGUUGCAAACUUUAGUUGCACUGUUUACUAACAAAAUAUUUUCUACUUUUCUUGUGAAGCUUUUAUCAGGGUUUUUCCUUGGUGGAUACUUUGGUUAUGUGAUAUUUGGUUUUAUUCGUUUUGGGAGUAGCUUCUCAGUUCCAAUGGUGGAACUUCAAUCCUGCGCCAGCUUGGUCAAUGCUUCUGCACUGUGUGCAAUAGAGCAAGAAAUGAAGGGAGAGAGUGUAAAUGUCAUUGCAGAGAUCGCGGCUGAGUUGCAAAGAGAGAGAGAAAAAAAUGCAGAGCUUAUGAAGAGAAUAUCAUCACUUGAAGCCCAAAUACAAGAGAGGGAGAAGGAAUCUCUUCUAACCAAUGAAAAACUGAAUCCAAGCAAAAGUCUACUGUCACUGCUUAAUGGCCUGGCCUCUUAUGUUCUCUCACAGGUCAGCUGUCUUGAUACCACAGAGAGAAGCCUCAAAAGGUUCAAAAGACAGAAGAUAGAAACAUAUAGUCAUAGAACUGAAGAUGGAAAGAGUACCAAAACUGAAAUGGCCUCUAAGGCAGAGAAUGGCACACAAUGCAUGCCUUCGACAGAUGAAAAUCAGGAUGAUCGCUUAGUUAACUGGAUGAGCAUGGAUGAGACUCUUUUUUCGCAUUUUGAUAAAUUUAAAGACAGUGACCUUGCUGCAGAUCGUGAGGAUACAGAUGACAGUGAUGAUGAAGAUGAAUAUUAUGAAGAGGAUGAUCCUAACACUGGUUAUAAAGAUAGGGAAACUGAGGAAAAUCUAAGAAGUGCUUAUGAAGAACAACCUCAUGAGGAUGGUGUUGGCCCAGGAAUGCAUAUAUCUUGUCUGCAAAGUUAUUCCACCAGUCAGAGUGAGCUGACAUUUACAAACAGUAGCCAGUUGAUAAAAGAAAAUAGAGAAAAGGAUUACACACUACAGGAUAUACAAGUAGUUUUUAACAGAAACAACCCGAAGUAUGUCAUGAAGGAAACAGAAAAGAAUGGAGAACACAAGUCUCCAGCACAUAUGGCAACUUCUGGGCAAGAGCCUUGUCAGACAGUGUCUGGAAAGACAUCUUCAAAUAAGAAACCUCCGAAAGUUCCUUUCUGUCCGAAAGAAAUAAGAAAAAUACUUGCAUCAGAUGCCCUUUUAUUGAAAAAUGCUCAGUCACACACCAUAAGGAAGAUAAUUGUCUUUGCAUCCCUUGGCAUAAGGAAUGGAUGUGAAGAUAUGUAUGAGUUAGACUUCAAUCACUUCAGCAUUUUAAGGAAGGGGGAUCCGUAUGUUUCUCCAAAGAAUCCAGGGGAGCAUGUCUUAUAUGAGAACCCUGGUGUCCAGAGGAAGGUUUUCUAUCCGAACCGACAGAAUCCAACACUAUGUCCUGUUCAAAUACUUGAGGAAGAGAAAACUAUGCGUCCUUCUGAUCCUUGCUGUCCAUCAUGCCUAUUUUUGUGCAUCAAGUAUGGUGGAAGGACAAGAAAUCUUCCUCAAAAUGAAUAUGUCAGGCAGCGAAUGGGAAGAAAUAAACUAAAGUCUUUCGGACCUGUCAUGUGCCGAAUGGCAAUGCUAGUCCAUAUUCGCAGUGGGAGCUUCUUCUUCAAGGCCUUGGGCAUCACACUUCUGUUCAUGGCAGGUUUUCCUGAUGACCUUGUUCAAAGAGAAACAAAAUACAGGAACUUAGACUUGCUGCAAAAGUAUUAUAGGACAGACGAAGAUGCUGAAGAUGAAGAAUUGUUUCUUUCGCAUCCAAUAGCUUUUGACACUCAGGCUCGUUCUAGUUCUCAGCAAUUAACUGGGAAGACUACCUCAACAAAAUCAAAGGGAAGAAGGCAGACAAACUCCAGCAGCAAGUCCCACAAUUUUCCAAAAGCCUCGGUUCAAGAAUCAGCACCUUCGACCUCAACACCUGGUACCCAAUUUGGGCUGAUGGGCUACACCUCAAUCCAAACCCAAGCAACGGCAGCAUUUCAGUCCACACAAUUACAGACUCCAGCUGAAACUACACAAGUCUCAAACCCAAUGAUGAAGAGUCUUGGAAACAAUGUGUCCUACCAUAAUCAAACCGCAUAUCACUUGUUUCCACCACAGCCAGCAAAUACUUUCAUGCCUAUGGUAUAUUGGCCUCCACCAGUUGUCUUUCCUCCCAGUCCUUAUCCAACUUCAUAUGGUUAUCGAUCUUAUCCAACUAAUGCAAACAACAUUUCCAUCCAUCCACAGCCUUACUACAAUCACCCUUCUUCCAGUUCGUUUAUCCCUAAGAUAAUAGAACGCAAUAGGACGGAUGUUUCGGCAUCCUUGGAACCGGAUAGUGACUCAGAUAGCAGUUUAAGCAGUUCGGAAGAACCAAAAGAGGCAUUAGCAAGCUGUAGGUAGUGGACUGAAUAUGCUUAUACAAUGUUUCUUGUAAAUUAUCAUUACAGGAAAAGGAACUUGGUAAAAGAAAGCUGUGACAUAAAUGCAUCUCGGAGUCCUGCAGUCCUGCCAUUGCAACAUUUGUUUGAUGAAUAAGUUACCAAUCUGCCUCAAACAUGCAAGAUCAUUUGCCAUAAUUUGAUGAACAUUCUCUAGUCUGUACAAACUCGAAAAUACAGCAGUGAACUGGAAAUUUGUAAGUAUAAUUCCUGCUUCUGAUAAGCCUUUUGUGAUAGUGUACAGAAUUUCUGGGAAGGCCGGUGGCAAGGCUUAGACCUGAAGGGUAUUUUAGUGGAAUUAAGGCUACUUCAGGAUUUUCAUUUGGCUUGUUCUCGAUAUUUAAAAUUCAAUGAUACGAUGGUCAUCACCAUAACUGUCUGCCCAUGCUUGGAGCAUUUGCCUCCCAACUUUGAUAGUGAGACUCAGGCCCACACCUUCAUUCUUCAUUCAUCUCUGUCUGCACUACAAUUAUAUAUACCAGUGGCCACCUACCAAGAGAUAAAUUUUCAUUGCGUUCAUAUGCUU